rnacentral:snoRNA from 2 species
GUGAUGACUUCGGCAGGAGUUGAGCGGUGAAAGCACUUAGCCCUAACUGA